rnacentral:rRNA from 1 species
UACGGCGAGUGAGCGGCAAAAGCUCAAAUUUGAAAUCUGGUACCUUCGGUGCCCGAGUUGUAAUUUGGAGAGGGCAACUUUGGGGCCGUUCCUUGUCUAUGUUCCUUGGAACAGGACGUCAUAGAGGGUGAGAAUCCCGUGUGGCGAGGAGUGCGGUUCUUUGUAAAGUGCCUUCGAAGAGUCGAGUUGUUUGGGAAUGCAGCUCUAAGUGGGUGGUAAAUUCCAUCUAAAGCUAAAUAUUGGCGAGAGACCGAUAGCGAACAAGUACAGUGAUGGAAAGAUGAAAAGAACUUUGAAAAGAGAGUGAAAAAGUACGUGAAAUUGUUGAAAGGGAAGGGCAUUUGAUCAGACAUGGUGUUUUGUGCCCUCUGCUCCUUGUGGGUAGGGGAAUCUCGCAUUUCACUGGGCCAGCAUCAGUUUUGGUGGCAGGAUAAAUCCAUAGGAAUGUAGCUUGCCUCGGUAAGUAUUAUAGCCUGUGGGAAUACUGCCAGCUGGGACUGAGGACUGCGACGUAAGUCAAGGAUGCUGGCAUAAUGGUUAUAUGCCGCCCGUCUUG